UCAGCUCUCCACCUGCAAAUCUCCAGUCACCGUCUAUUUCAACGAUGUCUCACCAGGAACAGCUGAUUCAGAGAUCCCAAUAUCAAGAUGGAGGUCGCUUCAGAGUGUACCAAUCUCAUGAAGAAGGUCUUGCAUCCUGUUUGAGCACGUAGUACCUUUGUUAUGUAAGAAUCUCAAAACACUAUAUUGGUUUUGGUUUGUGGGUUUAUAUCUCAAAGCUCUCCAGACUCA
rnacentral:lncRNA from 1 species